GGAAGUAAAAGUUGUAACAAGGUUUCCGUAGGUGAACCUGCGGAAGGAUCAUUACAGAGUUCUUGCCCUUACGGGUAGAUCUCCCACCCUUGAAAUUUUAUUCUCUUGUUGCUUUGGCGGGACGCAUCUUGCUACGGGCUUCGGCCUGUAAGUGCCCGCCAGAGACCCAACUAAAACCUGUUUAUGUGUCGUCUGAGUACUAUAUAAUAGUUAAAACUUUCAACAACGGAUCUCUUGGUUCUG
rnacentral:misc_RNA from 1 species